AAAAAAAAAAACAGAGUCUCUGAUUCCCCUCAUCUCUCCCAGAUCGCCGCCACCUCUCCCUCUUCCGAUCCACCUCACCGCCGGCCAUUCCCUUCCCCUCAUCCCACCGCGCAGCUCCGGCGGUUGCUGGAUCCAUCGCAUCCCCCACCCACCCAUCCCUCUUGGGUCCCAUCUCUACCUCUCUUCAUGCGCCUCCUCGCCAUCUGCAUCGGCUAAUUCAGGCGGCGUCCGGCGAAUCCCACCAUCACGAAGCACAGCCCGAGGUCCCCAUCGAAACGCGGCGACGUCCCAUGCGACUAGAUCCGGUGCUCACGGCCACCUCCCCCUGGCCAGGGUUUCGGGCGUCGGCUCCGGCGCCGGUGGCCAGGUCGUCCUCCUCUAGUACUCCUCUCUUCCGGUGCAGGGAGGAACAGGCUACGUGUGAACUCCAUCGUGACGCUACUGACGGUGAUGUCAAUGGACGGGAUGUUCCUCGGCGUCGAUGAGCAUGCACUGAGGCGGGAAGUGGAAAAGGAAUACAUCGCCAAGCGAACUCAAUGGUACGGUUCUGGAGGUGGAGGACGUGGCCAACGUGGCGCUGUACUGGAGUCAACGAGGCUAGGUCGAGCACGACAUGAGUUAAGGCUGAACCUUCUACUUGUGUGUUGCAUAACCACUACUAGACAUCUGAAUAUAUCCAAUGCGACCUCACCCAAAAAGCAUCAAGAUAAUUGAUCAACCUCAAACUAUGUAUUUAGUAACCUCUUCGUUCUGUUAGUUUUCUUGAUUCUCCAUGUCUGCCUGCUGCUUAGAUUAAAAGCAUUUGUUUGGCAGUGGCGGAGCGUGGCAAGAAGUGAAGAAACCAAUAGGGGGCCAUUUUUUUCAAACAAAAUAUGCAUUACUAGGAGCAGUGUGAGCUGAUGGUUCAUUCUUGUUCAACACUGCUCACAAACAGAAGUUGACGAGUAUAUGGAGGUGUUAUUUUUCAACCGGAAGCAUAGCUGCUACUCAUGUAUGCAAGAACGACAGACAGAUUAUUUCCCAACAUAAUUUAAGAAAACCAAGACUGUAAAGGAAUAUAGAAUAAAAGCAUGCAAAAUGAGUGCUUCAGAGUCAUGCGUUGUGGAUCAAGGCAUUGACACAACCGACCCGCCGGCAGCGACAUGCCUCGUCCAUCAAAGGCAUUGGCACAGCCAACCGGCCCACAGCAAUGUCGAGCACGACGGCCACCAUGUCGUGGCCUGAGGGACAUUAGGAUAUUCUCAAUGUGUUGAUCUCGCCGCCGAAGGAGCAGAGACAAUUGGUGCGGCACGAGGUCACGGCCGCGACAACCCUGCAGCCCGCGCACACCAGGUCAAGCGCUUGAUGCAGAACUCAUUGUCGAUACUGGAGGAAGCGCUGUCGCAGCACCAAUAGGUCCUGCAGCCUGCUACACGGUAUUGCUCUGGCCAUUGAUAUGCCAUCAAUUGCAGGCUUCCUGCCUGCUACGGUGCACUGCAGGUCAUCUUCAUACCCACGGUCACACUCACAGCCACCGCGUUGCAACCCCUUUUGGCCUCCAUGAGGCCCCGCCAGUGUUGUGUCGUAUCAUAGGGAAGGUUGCAUAUAUGGACAAUCCCCACAUGCACAACACCAGUCACUGCCUUAAAUACACGUCCAGAACUAAUGCCAAACAUGGAUAAAUCCAUAUCUUAAAUUAUAUGUUCUUAAACAACAGCCAUGCAUGUAAGGACAAGCCACAUAAAUAGGAUUCAGUCAUAUUCUAAUAUGUUUUAUCCUUUUUUAUAAUUGUAAUUUUUUUAUGUCAAUUAUUCUCUAUUGUAGGUAGCUCUCAAACUGCGCGGAGUCAAGAUUGAUGCUAUGGUACCAUUAAUGAUUCCAGCAGAAGAUAUUUGCAACCUGAAGUGUUACACAAGGUCAGCUUCAAGGCUAUGAAGCAAAAGAUCAGACAAAGGUUUUCGCCAUGUUUGUCCUUCAGCUUAGUAACUUGCAUGUUGAUAUGGCACUUGUGAAAACUGAAGAUUUUGUCCGGAGUCGUAAAACAUGUAAUAUUCUCGGUAAUGCAGAAGAAGCAAAGAUUGCAUUGCCUUCAACCUUUAUUCAAAAGAUAUAUGGAUGAUUAUAUGGGUGCGUGGCAAGAAUACUGCAAUGAUGAUGACGGUGUUCUGGUUCAUGAUGAUGAUGAUGAUGAUGAUGAUGAUGAUGGACGCUUUUAGUUGUAGUUAAGUUAGGGAUGUUGUUCCCAUUGGAUGAUGUUCCUGUUCCUUAGUUAAGUUUUUGUUAAGUUGUAGGGAUAUUGAUGGAUGCUUUCAGUAAGCUUUGAUUUCAAGAAAAUAUUUAGA